UACGAAGGGGGCUAGCGUUGUUCGGAAUUACUGGGCGUAAAGCGCACGUAGGCGGAUAUUUAAGUCAGGGGUGAAAUCCCAAAGCUCAACUCUGGAACUGCCUUUGAUACUGGGUAUCUUGAGUAUGGAAGAGGUAAGUGGAAUUGCGAGUGUAGAGGUGAAAUUCGUAGAUAUCAGGAAGAACACCAAUGGCGAAAGCAGCUUUCUGGGACGGUACUGACGCUGAGACGCGAAAGCGUGGGGAGCGAACAGG
rnacentral:rRNA from 1 species